rfam:Cyphomyrmex costatus contig13672, whole genome shotgun sequence.
CAAACGGCCCUUUUCAGGGCCACCACAAAAUAUCAAAGCCUACCAC